CAGAGAUGGGCAGUAACGCGUUACUUGUAACGCGUUACUGUAAUCUGAUUACUUUUUUCAAGUAACGAGUAAAGUAAGGGAUUACUAUUGCAAAAUCGGUAAUUAGAUUACCGUUACUUUCCCGUAGGAACGCUGCGUUACUGCGUUACCAAAACCGUGAUUUUUUUUGCGAGAAUGUCUCAUGACAGUGACGUCGUUGGUGACAGCAGCUGUGUGCAGAUCAACAAUGGAUAAUAUAUCGAGUGCGGGAGAGAGUAUGAGCGUGCAGCGUUUAAAGUGUGGAAGUACUGACCUUACUUUGAGUUUGAUUCCAUAAAAAGUGACAAAAACAUUAGCGUCCAUCGUGCGUGGGAAGAAAACUUCUUUUUACAGCGAAAAAAACCCCCUAAACUUCCAAGCAAGCACCGAGUAGCUACGACGUGAUGGGAAACUCACAGAGACACUCGCGCGGAUUCUUCAACUGACCGCAGCACACCUGCACCAGGGUAACCCUCCGCCUACCCUGCUCCUGCUUUACAGGUGAAAAUAGAGCAAAAGGACCGCUGAGUCUUUGACUUUAUUUAUUUUCUGCUGUGUUUUACUUGCAUCUGUUUGAAAGAGUGAGUGAAAACACAAAAAAUAUUUUAUUUUAUGAGCUGGAAUGUGUAGAAAAUAGGUUUAAAUGUUAAACUAAUUUCUUCCAGUCAGAGAAUGUUGCAUAUAAUUAAAUGUUUUGCUUGAUGCAUAAAGUUAAAAGAUUAAAACUGAUAAAACAAGUUUUAAAAAGAGACUUUUCCAUUUGAUUACAUUUUGUAUGAUGGCUUAUGUAGAAAAAGUAGAAUUGGGCUGAAAGAUCUAUCGCUUUAUCACCUCUUCAGGUUGUAAAUUGUGUUUUUAAAAAGUAACUAAGUAACUAAGUAACUAAGUAAUUAAUUACUUUUGAAAAUAAGUAAUCAGUAAAGUAACGGGAUUACUUUUUUGGGGGAGUAAUCAGUAAUUAGUUACUGAUUACUUUUUUCAAGUAACUUGACCAACACUG
ensembl:lncRNA